AUUGAACGCUGGCGGCAGGCUUAACACAUGCAAGUCGAGCGGGGGAAGGUAGCUUGCCACUGGACCUAGCGGCGGACGGGUGAGUAAUGCUUAGGAAUCUGCCUAUUAGUGGGGGACAACAUCUCGAAAGGGAUGCUAAUACCGCAUACGUCCUACGGGAGAAAGCAGGGGAUCUUCGGACCUUGCGCUAAUAGAUGAGCCUAAGUCGGAUUAGCUAGUUGGUGGGGUAAAGGCCUACCAAGGCGACGAUCUGUAGCGGGUCUGAGAGGAUGAUCCGCCACACGGGGACUGAGACACGGCCCAGACUCCUACGGGAGGCAGCAGUGGGGAAUAUUGGACAAUGGGGGGAACCCUGAUCCAGCCAUGCCGCGUGUGUGAAGAAGGCCUUAUGGUUGUAAAGCACUUUAAGCGAGGAGGAGGCUACUUUAGUUAAUACCUAGAGAUAGUGGACGUUACUCGCAGAAUAAGCACCGGCUAACUCUGCGCCAGCCGCCGCAGUAA
rnacentral:rRNA from 1 species